CCUCUGCAGAGCCUUCUGUCUCAAGAGCCCCAGAGGUCAGGGGGAUGGCCUCAGGGAGAGCAGAUUACAGUUUGGUACAUACCUGAGCUCGCUGUCUCCAGAGACCAACUGGUUCAGGUCCCUGACUAGGCCUGUGAGUGAGGAUGGCGCCUCUGGAGCAGGCGGUGGCUGCUAUUGCGUGCACCUUCCGGGAAUUUCCAGGGCCCUGUGGAGACAAGUAAAGCUCUGCCAGGCAGAGCUCAAGGAACUGCUAGAGAAGGAGCUGCCCACCUGGACCCCCGUGAGCACCUGGGACAGAGCUUCGGGAGCGUGACCACAAUAAGUUCAUGAGUGUCCUGGACGCCAUCAAGGAUUGCGAGGUGGACUUUGUGGAGUACACGUGCCUGCUUGCCUGCCUCUGCACCUAGUGCCAUGAGUACUUCAAGGACUGCGCCCUGGACCCCCACUGCUCCCAGUGAUGGGCAGGGCUGCCAUCGGAGGGUAGGGGUCUGGGUCUGCUCCGGACCUGCUCCAUCUCUGCCCUGAGGUCAUCCUGGGCAUGUCAGCUCUCCCCCCUCCCCCCUCCCUUGUCCCCUCCAUCUAGAAUCUCCCAGGUUUGCCCCUGGUAUGUUAACCCCUUUUACCCAUGAGUCCAGGAGACGUGAGGGGACCUUCCCCGGGAUCACAGCUAGUGACCUGUAGGACAGCCAGCCGCUGCCUCCCAACUGUGGCCCAUGAUGGACGAAGGCCGUCAAGGCCCAGCAGAGAGUGUGCGGGAAGGAGACCACGGUGGGAAAGGGCCUAUUCUGCUCCUAAU